GCCGGGGUGGCGGAAAAGGCAGACGCGCCAGACUUAAAAUCUGGUGGGGUCAAGCCCCGUGCGGGUUCAAGUCCCGCCCCCGGCACCA
rnacentral:tRNA from 1 species